rnacentral:misc_RNA from 1 species
CUUGUGUACAUACUGCGGCCCACGCGAAAAGAAAGGAGAAAAUUCAAAGUGUCAAAUUUGUUACAAGUGAAAAUGAGACUCCCACAACGCCAGUGAUCUACGCAGCUUCCAGCUUUCCUUUAUCAGCAAUUUUCGACCUACUUAGUAGAUAUACAAAUAACUUCCCUUUCCGCUCACCCACCACUUCGGCUGCCUUCUUGAUUAGGGAACCCACUUAUUUAUAUUAUCUUUCUUUUCGAUUUACCGUUUCAGCUAAAUUAGUUCUAUUAUGGAGUGUUAUUCUUA